rnacentral:rRNA from 1 species
AUUCCUACGGGAGGCAGCAGGGAGGAAUAUUGGGCAAUGGGCGAAAGCCUGACCCAGCAACGCCGCGUGAAGGAUGAAAGCCUUCGGGUUGUAAACUUCUUUUAGGGGAGACGAGAAAGGACGGUAUCCCCUGAAUAAGCAACGGCUAACUACGUGCCAGCAGCCGCGGUAAUACGUAGGUUGCGAGCGUUAUCCGGAUUCAUUGGGCGUAAAGAGCUUGUAGGUGGCUAUGUAAGUUGGACGUGAAAACUCCGGGCUUAACUUGGAGAGGCCGUUCAAUACUGCGUAGCUUGAGUAUGUCAGAGGGAAGUGGAAUUCCUGGUGUAGCAGUGAAAUGCGUAGAUAUCAGGAGGAACACCCGUGGCGAAGGCGGCUUCCUGGGACAUAACUGACACUGAGAAGCGAAAGCUAGGGGAGCAAACGGGAUUAGAAACCCCGGUAGUCCUAGCUGUAAACGAUGGAUGCUAGGUGUGAGCAGAACUAACCCUGCGCGUGCCGAAGCUAACGCGUUAAGCAUCCCGCCUGGGAACUACGAGCGCAAGCUUAAAACUCAAAGGAAUUGACGGGGACCCGCACAAGCAGCGGAGCGUGUGGUUUAAUUCGAUGCUACACGAAGAACCUUACCCAGGUUUGACAUACAGGUAGUAGUGAAGCGAAAGCGGAACGACCCGCAAGGGAGCCUGAACAGGUGUUGCAUGGCUGUCGUCAGCUCGUGUCGUGAGAUGUUGGUUUAAGUACCCUAACGAGCGCAACCCUCGUUGCCAGUUACAAGUGUCUGGCGAGACUGCCGGCCGCAAGCCGGAGGAAGGCGGGGAUGACGUCAAGUCAGCAUGGCCUUUAUAUCUGGGGCUACACACACGCUACAAUGGGUAGCAACAAUGGGUCGCCAAGCCGCGAGGUGGAGCCAAUCCCAUAAAACUGCCCUCAGUUCAGAUUGCAGGCUGCAACCCGCCUGCAUGAAGUCGGAGUUGCUAGUAAACGCGCGUCAGCUAUAGUGCGUUGAAUACGUUCCCGGGCCUUGUACACACCGCC